rnacentral:rRNA from 1 species
AAGGCUGAAAUUCGCCUUCAUGAAGCCGGAAUUGCUGUAAUGGCAGGUCAGCAUACUGCCGUGAAUACGUUCCCGGGCCCUUGUACACACCGCCCGUCACACCAUGAGAGUUGGGAAUACCCGAAGCCUGUGAGCUAACUUUUAGAGGCAGCAGUCGAAGGUAGAAUCAAUGAUUGGGGUGAAGUCGUAACAAGGUAAC